GACGAACGCUGGCGGCGCGCUUAACACAUGCAAGUCGAGCGAUAACCAUGGGCUUCGGCCAUGGGGAGAGCGGCGAACGGGUGAGUAACACGUGAGUAAUCUGCCCUCGACACUGGGAUAGGCCCGGGGAAACCCGGAUUAAUACCGGAUAGCCUCUCGAGCUUUCGGGCUCGUGAGAAAAGAUGGCUUCGGCUUUCGGUUGAGGAGGAGCUUGCGGCGGAUUAGCUUGUUGGUGAGGUAACGGCCCACCAAGGCGACGAUCCGUAGCUGGUCUGAGAGGACGAUCAGCCACACUGGGACUGAGACACGGCCCAGACUCCUACGGGAGGCAGCAGUGGGGAAUCUUGCGC
rnacentral:rRNA from 1 species